UCGGGGUACUCGAGUGGCGAACGGGUGAGUAACACGUGGGUGAUCUGCCCUGCACUUUGGGAUAAGCCUGGGAAACUGGGUCUAAUUUNNGACCGAAUAGGACCACGCGCUUCAUGGUGANUGUGGUGGAAAGCUUUUGCGGUGUGGGAUGGGCCCGCGGCCUGGGAUCAGCUUGUUGGUCAGGGGUAAUGGCCUACUGNCUNCAAGGCGACGACGGGUAGCCGGCCUGAGAGGGUGACCGGCCACACUGGGACUGAGAUACGGCCCAGACUCCUACGGGAGGCAGCAGUGGGGAAUAUUGCACAAUGGGCGCAAGCCUGAUGCAGCGACGCCGCGUGAGGGAUGACGGCCUUUCGGGUUGUAAACCUCUUUCAAUAGGGACGAAGCGCAAGUGACGGUACCUAUAGAAGAAGCACCGGCCAACUACGUGCCAGCAGCCGCGGUAAUACGUAGGGUGCGAGCGUUGUCCGGAAUUACUGGGCGUAAAGAGCUCGUAGGUGGUUUGUCGCGUUGUUCGUGAAAACUCACAGCUUAACUGUGGGCGUGCGGGCGAUACGGGCAGACUAGAGUACUGCAGGGGAGACUGGAAUUCCUGGUGUAGCGGUGGAAUGCGCAGAUAUCAGGAGGAACACCGGUGGCGAAGGCGGGUCUCUGGGCAGUAACUGACGCUGAGGAGCGAAAGCGUGGGGAGCGAACAGGAUUAGAUACCCUGGUAGUCCACGCCGUAAACGGUGGGUACUAGGUGUGGGUUCCUUCCUUGGGAUCCGUGCCGUAGCUAACGCAUUAAGUACCCCGCCUGGGGAGUACGGCCGCAAGGCUAAAACUCAAAGGAAUUGACGGGGGCCCGCACAAGCGGCGGAGCAUGUGGAUUAAUUCGAUGCAACGCGAAGAACCUUACCUGGGUUUGACAUGCACAGGACGCCGGCAGAGAUGUCGGUUCCCUUGUGGCCUGUGUGCAGGUGGUGCAUGGCUGUCGUCAGCUCGUGUCGUGAGAUGUUGGGUUAAGUCCCGCAACGAGCGCAACCCUUGUCCUAUGUUGCCAGCGGGUUAUGCCGGGGACUCGUAGGAGACUGCCGGGGUCAACUCGGAGGAAGGUGGGGGAUGACGUCAAGUCAUCAUGCCCCUUAUGUCCAGGGCUUCACACAUGCUACAAUGGCCGGUACAAAGGGCUGCGAUGCCGUGAGGUGGAGCGAAUCCUUUCAAAGCCGGUCUCAGUUCGGAUCGGGGUCUGCAACUCGACCCCGUGAAGUCGGAGUCGCUAGUAAUCGCAGAUCAGCAACGCUGCGGUGAAUACGUUCCCGGGCCUUGUACACACCGCCCGUCACGUCAUGAAAGUCGGUAACACCCGAAGCC
rnacentral:rRNA from 1 species